UGCAUAUUUUAAGUAAAUUACUUAUUAUAUGCUAAACAUGACAUGAUUUGCAUUAUAUUUUGCAAUAAGAAUAAAAGUAUUUAAUUGGUUUUAAUUAUAAUUCCAAUCAUUAAAGAAAGAUGAGUAAGAAUAUUGUUGGUGUUCUUAACUCAAGAGAAAUAUUUUCAAGUAUUUAUUUAUUAAAUUUUGAAAACCCGGCUAAGUGAAUCAUAGAAUGUUAAGCACUACACCAUGACUUAAGAUUAGAUACAAGGAGACCUAUUGAGAAUAGAUUUCUUGUAGGCUUCGAGCAUCAGAAGGAUUAGCACUGCUAUUCCGAUUCAGAGAUAAGGUUAAACGACAGGCUUUGCCUAUACAGGUUGAGCAGUUGAUGGAAUGGAAUGAUGUUGAGCGGGUGUUCCUUUGACAUUUCAAGAAAUGUAACCUUGAGUAUACAUCUUCAUAUGUAUAUCUCACACGUUUUCCGCUGCAAAACACUUUGAUUAGGAUAGCUCUAUGAUAUGAAGUUGUGAUACGUGUUAUUGGGUAACCACCUUAAUCAGUUCUCAAUUAUGUGUAUGUUUUAUAAGUAUCCAAAUAAUCAUAUAUGAUCCUAGCAUUUUAUCUAUGA